UACGAAGGGGGCUAGCGUUGUUCGGAAUUACUGGGCGUAAAGGGCGCGUAGGCGGUGUGUCAAGUCAGGCGUGAAAGCCCCGGGCUCAACCUGGGAACCGCGCUUGAGACUGGCACGCUAGAGUUCGGGAGAGGAUGGUGGAAUUCCCAGUGUAGAGGUGAAAUUCGUAGAUAUUGGGAAGAACACCGAUGGCGAAGGCAGCCAUCUGGACCGAC
rnacentral:rRNA from 1 species